GACACGCAGAGGGACACCAGGCAUAGUCAAGGAUGGGGAACGGUGGAGCUGGUUUCUCCCCAUCACUUUCGCUGCCUGUCUUGGUCCAUCCUAACUCUCUGUCCCGACUCCCAAGCUAGCCUGGCCUGCCCGGGAGCUCCGGACUCCAGGACGCUCUCACUGCAGAGCACCACGCGCGGAAGCCGGAGCACGUGCGGGAGGUGGGAAUGGUACCUGGUGUGCUGAGCCGACACGGAGCUCUACUUUCCUCCAGGGAUGAGAUGGGGACAAAGCCUCUUUCUGGCCAGAAGAAAAUGGUCACAUUGUGACUCCCUCCUUCCCUCCAGGAAGGAUACUUAGGCUCCGCAUUUAAUCCAGGUGGGGCGGGGGCGGGGCACCCUUUCAAUGGAGCCCACUAGGUCCUUGGCAGAUAGUGGUUGGAGCACACACCGGUGAUGGUUAAUUCUGAGAGUCAUACUGACUAGGUUACAGAGUGUCCAGACCAUUUGAGAAAGCGUUAUUCUGGGUGUGUCCCCAGGGUUGAAGUGGCUGCUGCAGAACCUCUUGGCCCCAUGUCUCACCACAAGGGACUGUCCCUUUCUCCCAUGUGCCACGCCCUCGUAGCACUUGGGGAAAUUAGCUGCACCACUUAUACCCACAGGUGCCUCUGAAAUCUUCCUCACCCCUUCCCUCCCUUUGUUAGGGUUUCCAACAGAGCACGACCUGAACAAAAGUGGUUUCAUUUUCUCUUAAGGCGGUUGCUAGCUUGCCUGGUAAUGUCAGGUCUGGUGUCUCAGUCUAGCUUGGCCCCUCAUUAUCGCAAAGUGGCUGCAGUCGCUAUGAGCAUUGAACAUAUUUCAUUCAAGGAAGAGCAAUGAAGAAUGAUGGACAAAGUGCUUUUCCACAUUUAUCUUCCUCUUAUGUUGGAGAAAAAAGGCUUUGUCAGAAAUUUCCAAGAUUGUCCCCUUUCAUCUCGUUGUCCAGACAGCCAUGAGGGCUCCUCAGAGCAAGUCUGGAUGUACCUUCUUGAGAUCAAAGGAACUCAGUUGAGACCUGAGCAAAUUGGGUUCAUGGCGGCAGAGGAAAGGGGCGGAAGUGAGGGGGAACGGAUAGCCCAGGAGCAUGGUCUGUCUCCUUCCUCCACCAACUGCUGGUCCCGGGAGCUCGUCCAUGACAGGCAGGUAAACUGUUGCUCCUUGCAGAAGCGCCCUCAUUUUUUAAGGUCUAGCAGCACAUGCCCAUUCCUGGAACUUGGCUAACCCAGAUUCCAGAUGGACCUGUCUGUCACUCCAUCUGCUUCCGGAUGGAUCGUGUCAUGAUCUUGUGUUAUCAUUUAUUUUGGUAAGCUUUAUAGUGUGAGCAUAAACUGUGCCCAGAGGCUCGUGUGUUCAACACCUGGCCUCAGCUGCUGCUGGUGUUUUGAGAACCUUCAGGAGGUGGGGCCUCACUGGAGGAAGUGAACCACUGCAGGACGGGCCUUAUAUGGGUUAUAGUUAUGAUGAGGCCUUUCAUUUCAAUGUUUGUAUUUGUUAGGGUUUUCUAGUGUUAACAUAUAAAGUAUCUUACAGACUAUGGUCCAGCUAAUCAAACAAUGGCUGCCUAUAAAAAGAAGGCCCAAGAAUCCAGUAGUUGUUCAGUCCAUGAGCCUGAGGCUGGAUGUCUAAGCUGGUUGUCAGUACUAACCAGGAUUCCAAAAUAGACUCUAAUGCCAGUGAAG
rnacentral:lncRNA from 1 species